GAUGAACGCUAGCUACAGGCUUAACACAUGCAAGUCGAGGGGUCUUUUGGAGCUUGCUUUAAAAGACGACCGGCGCACGGGUGAGUAACGCGUAUCCAACCUGUCCUUCAUAUUGGGAUAGCCUUCCGAAAGGAAGAUUAAUACCGAAUAACAUGAUAGAGUUGCCUGAUUUUAUCAUGAAAGCUCCGGCGAUGAAGGAUGGGGAUGCGUUCCAUUAGGUAGUAGGCGGGGUAACGGCCCACCUAGCCGACGGUGGAUAGGGGUUCUGAGAGGAAGGUCCCCCACACUGGAACUGGGACACGGUCCAGGCUCCUACGGGAGGCAGAAGUGAGGAAUAUUGGUCAAUGGGCGCGAGCCUGAGCCAGCCAAGUAGCGUGAAGGAUGACUUCCCUAUGGGUUGUAAACUUCUUUUAUACGGGAACAAACCCUGGUACGUGUACCAGAUUGCGUGUACCGUAUGAAUAAGCAUCGGCUAACUCCGUGCCAGCCGCCGCUGUAAUAC
rnacentral:rRNA from 1 species